GGACGGGUGAGUAAUGUCUGGGAAACUGCCUGAUGGAGGGGGAGUAACUACUGGAAACGGUAGCUAAUACCGCAUAACGUCGCAAGACCAAAGAGGGGGACCUUCGGGCCUCUUGCCAUCAGAUGUGCCCAGAUGGGAUUAGCUAGUAGGUGGGGUAACGGCUCACCUAGGCGACAAUCCCUAGCUGGUCUGAGAGGAUGACCAGCCACACUGGAACUGAGACACGGUCCAGACUCCUACGGGAGGCAGCAUG
rnacentral:rRNA from 1 species